AACGCGAAGAACCUUACCAAGGCUUGACAUAUACGAGAACGGGCCAGAAAUGGUCAACUCUUUGGACACUCGUAAACAGGUGGUGCAUGGUUGUCGUCAGCUCGUGUCGUGAGAUGUUGGGUUAAGUCCCGCAACGAGCGCAACCCCCGUUCUAUGUUGCCAGCACGUAAUGGUGGGAACUCAUGGGAUACUGCCGGGGUCAACUCGGAGGAAGGUGGGGAUGACGUCAAAUCAUCAUGCCCCUUAUGUCUUGGGCUUCACGCAUGCUACAAUGGCCGGUACAAAGGGCUGCAAUACCGCGAGGUGGAGCGAAUCCCAAAAAGCCGGUCCCAGUUCGGAUUGAGGUCUGCAACUCGACCUCAUGAAGUCGGAGUCGCUAGUAAUCGCAGAUCAGCAACGCUGCGGUGAAUACGUUCCCGGGUCUUGUACACACCG
rnacentral:rRNA from 1 species